UACAGAGGUGGCAAGCGUUGUUCGGAAUUACUGGGCGUAAAGGGCGCGUAGGCGGCCUACUAAGUCAGACGUGAAAUCCCCCGGCUUAACCUGGGAACUGCGUCUGAUACUGGAUGGCUUGAAUCCGGGAGAGGGAUGCAGAAUUCCAGGUGUAGCGGUGAAAUGCGCAGAUAUCAGGAGGAAUACCGAUGGCGAAGGCAGGUCUCUGGGCUGACACUGACGCUCAUGCACGAAAGCGUGGGGAGCAAACAGG
rnacentral:rRNA from 1 species